rnacentral:tRNA from 1 species
GGCAGGGUAGCUCAGUGGUAGAGCAGCGGACUCAUAAGCCGUUGGCCGCGAGUUCAACUCUCGCCCCUGCCA